GUGGGGAAUUUUGGACAAUGGGGGCAACCCUGAUCCAGCGACGCCGCGUGAAGGAUGACGGUCUUCGGAUUGUAAACUUCUUUUGUUGGGGAUGAAUGAGCCGGUGAAUAGCCGGCUGUGACAGUACUCGACGAAUAAGCCACGGCUAACUACGUGCCAGCAGCCGCGGUAAUACGUAGGUGGCAAGCGUUACUCGGAAUCACUAGGCGUAAAGCGCAGGUAGGCGGUUCGGUAAGUCUUUUGUGAAAGCUCCCGGCUCAACUGGGAGAGGCCAAGGGAAACUACCGGGCUAGAGUGUGGUAGGGGAAACUGGAAUUCCUGGUGUAGCGGUGAAAUGCGUAGAUAUCAGGAGGAAUACCAAUGGCGAAGGCAGGUUUCUGGGCCACCACUGACGCUGAGCUGCGAAAGCUAGGGGAGCAAACAGGAUUAGAAACCCUGGUAGUCC
rnacentral:rRNA from 1 species